GCUCAUGCGCAAGACUUCAAAUUUAACUUAAAAACCUUGUUUUGGCGCUAAGCUGCUGUUUCCUUGAGAGAUCCUGCUUUACCUGCUCCCUCCUAUACUGAUGUGAUGUAUGUGGUACUGCUGAGCUUGUAUGUGAUCUGAACCAUUGUAAAGGUUGCAGUUCAAGGGCCUGAG